rnacentral:rRNA from 1 species
UACAGAGGUCCCAAGCGUUGUUCGGAUUCACUGGGCGUAAAGGGUGCGUAGGUGGUCAGGUAAGUCGGAUGUGAAAUCUCCGAGCUCAACUCGGAAACUGCAUUGGAAACUACCUGGCUCGAGGGUUGGAGGGGGGACUGGAAUGCUUGGUGUAGCAGUGAAAUGCGUAGAUAUCAAGCGGAACACCAGUGGCGAAGGCGGGUCUCUGGACAGUUCCUGACGCUGAGGCACGAAGGUCAGGGGAGCAAACGGG